UACGAAGGGGGCUAGCGUUGUUCGGAUUUACUGGGCGUAAAGCGCACGUAGGCGGAUUGGUCAGUUAGGGGUGAAAUCCUGGAGCUCAACUCCAGAACUGCCUUUAAUACUGCCAGUCUCGAGUCCGGAAGAGGUAAGUGGAACUCCUAGUGUAGAGGUGGAAUUCGUAGAUAUUAGGAAGAACACCAGUGGCGAAGGCGGCUUACUGGUCCGGUACUGACGCUGAGGUGCGAAAGCUAGGGGAGCAAACGGG
rnacentral:rRNA from 1 species